GCGGGUGUAGCUCAGCUGGUAGAGCAUCGGCCUUCCAAGCCGUUUGUCGCGGG
rnacentral:tRNA from 1 species